GGGGGCGUAACGGUUUCGACGGGGACAGCCUUGGCCUGGUAAGCGAGCCGCAGUUUGUCGGAACUGCGUUAAAAGCCGGCAAAACAAACUUAAACGCGAAAGAUAAUCGAGUAGCUCUCGCAGCUUAAUGCUGCGGGCAUCCUUCCCGGGUAACCCGCGACCCGGGGUCUGGGUGUCAAUUUAGCGGGGAACUGGCCUAACUAAGCUUUGCGUUAGUGCCCGAUUGAUGAAGCUACCCCACCCAUGGUUUGCAUGCUAAGACAUGGGCUGGGGGAAAUCUAAAAGCAUGCUGCGCUCGGAGAAAGCCACGCAUGGGCGUUUUCGGACAGGGGUUCAACUCCCCUCGCCUCCACCA
rnacentral:tmRNA from 1 species